GACGAACGCUGGCGGCGUGCUUAACACAUGCAAGUCGAACGGGAGUAUUGAAGAAGCUUGCUUUAGAGAUACUUUAGUGGCGGACGGGUGAGUAACGCGUGAGGAGCUGUCCUAUGCAGGGGGACAACAGCUGGAAACGGCUGCUAAUACCCCAUAAGCCGAGAGGUAAAAGGAUCAAUCCGGCAGAGGAGGUACUCGCGUCCUAUCAGCUAGUAGGUGAGGUAACGGCUCACCUAGGCGAAGACGGGUAGCCGGCCUGAGAGGGCGAACGGCCACACUGGAACUGAGAUACGGUCCAGACUCCUACGGGAGGCAGCAGUGGGGAAUAUUGGGCAAUGGGGGAAACCCUGACCCAGCGACGCCGCGUGGGUGAAGAAAUCCUUCGGGAUGUAAAGCCCUGUUGUAUGGGAAGAGCGGAAGACGGUACCAUACGAGGAAGCCCCGGCAAACUACGUGCCAGCAGCCGCGGUAAACGUAGCGUG
rnacentral:rRNA from 1 species